rnacentral:tRNA from 1 species
GCGGGGAUAGCUCAGUAGGUAGAGCGGUGGCCUUUUAAGCCAUGUCUAACAUUGGUGAUACAUAGAUGAGCGCGUUACAUAACUUAACCACCUAUGUUUACGCAAUAUCUUGGCGUUGGUUCAAGUCCAACUCCCCGCUCA